rnacentral:tRNA from 1 species
GCAUAGAUUUGGUUGGUUAACACACUGGAUUGUGGCUCCAGCACUCGUGGGUUCGAGUCCCACUAGUCGCCCGCCCA